GGAGAAGCAUGAACAAGUGCAAUUCCACUGGCACCAGAGCUGUGAAAAUGGGUCCAGAAGGUCAUGCCCAUUAGGAUUCUACAGGAAUUCCAUAGAAAUAAAGAACUCAAGGUGCUCCAUCCUUGGGAAGUGAGAAAGAUGAAGAACGAAGCUGAAGACUCAGGUCGAUCAAUAAACUGUGAUGUAGCCAUAGACUCGAAUCCUACUUUACAACGAAAUGGAACUAUUGCUUCACACCACGAAACUGAUGAAUCUUAAGUUUACUUCUAUAAAUGAAGGAAGUCAGAUCCAAAAGGCUACAUAUUGUAUGUUUCUAUUUAUAUGAUAUUGUAGAAAAAGAAAAUUAUAAAGAUCAAAAGCGAUUAGUGGAUGCCAAAAAGUGGGAUGAGGGGAGGCAUUGGCUAUGAAGGGACAGCAUGAGAGAAUCGGAGGGUAAUGAAACAGUUCUGUGUGGUACUGUGAAGGUGGAUGUUACUCUGAACAGUUGCCAUAUCACAUUGAACUGUAGACCACAAAGAGUAAAUGUCCUUGAUGCAAAUUGAAAAAAUAACCAGAAAGUUGGGACAUUUAGAUGAAAUGCAGUAGGUGAUAAAUGAGUUUAACCUUACUACAAAUGUAUGGCCUAACCCUGUUGAAGAUGGUGGGGACGAAAAUUCUUGACCUGAGUCACUUAGGAAAACAGUGUUUUGAUUGAAUGCUGUAAUACUCAAAAGCUGUACACCAACACUGUGUUCUAGUUGUUUUUUUUUCCUGUAAAGCUAUGGAUUAGCAAUUUUGAAACUACUUUACAUAUUAGUUUAUAUAUUUAUAUAUGAUUGAUUAUUAGUGCCUGUUUCUCACUCUUGUUGAAAAAAGUUGAAAAUAAAAACAGUAUGCUAGAAUGAACCUUGUUGUGCUGAUCUGGAGCUGGAAAUAUCAGAAUAAACAUUUCUAUUGCAAUAUAUCCAUCCAGAGAGAGAGAGAGAGAAAAGGAGAUAUGUGUGCACACCUUAGUUAUAUGUUUCCAAACCCUGUCUGCUAGUAGGGCCCAGAAGCAGUGACAUUUCAGUAUCAAUGAGCACACCUAACUUUUGGAUCUUGGUAUCUAAAUACUGUUCUUCAAUAAGAAGAAUCAGGGAUACUUGUAAUAGUGGAUAAUUCUAGGGCAGGAGAUAGAAAAUACAAGUUGAGCCUCGAGUAUCUUAUAGAGCCAGAAAGUCAAAAAGUGCUUUAAAAACAUACAAGGGAGCAUGUCAAAAGGAGCCACCCUGUAAGACCUCCCAAUGGCCCAAGGUGGAAAAAUGUGAGCAGCAAAAUAAAUAAUGAUAGCAUUAAAUUAUAACCAGAUAAUAAAAUAUAUAUCCACACAUCCAUACCAAUAUAGAAAAGAUGAAAUAAGGAAAGAAGGAAGAAAGUGCGGGAAUGAGGAG